rnacentral:lncRNA from 1 species
UUUUUUUUUUUUUUGACUUGGGGGAGUUGGGGAGGGGGAGCAGUGGGGUUUAAACCCGGGAUCACACUGUUCACACACAGGAGGUCGCACCGCUUGGUGUCCCCUUGGGGAUAGAUUGGACAAAUUUUUUGACAACGAAGAUAUGACAAUUUUGCAAAAGUUACGUUCGAAGGUUGCAAAUGGGUACAACCAAACUACAAACGUGACGCAUAAUUAAUUUAUUACUACUAAAUUGAAC